AUACGGAGGGUGCAAGCGUUGCUCGGAAUCACUGGGCGUAAAGCGUACGCAGGCGGCGCGUUAAGUCGGGUGUGAAAGCCCGGGGCUCAACCCCGGAUGUGCAUUCGAUACUGGCGUGCUCGAGUUCGGGAGAGGGAAGCGGAAUUCCUGGUGUAGAGGUGAAAUUCGUAGAUAUCAGGAGGAACAUCAGUGGCGAAAGCGGCUUCCUGGCCCGAUACUGACGCUCAUGUACGAAAGCGUGGGGAGCAAACAGGAUUAGAUACCCUGGUAGUCCACGCCGUAAACGAUGAGUGCUAGCUGCCGGGAAUGUUUACCGUCUCGGUGGCGAAGCCAACGCAUUAAGCACUCCGCCUGGGAAGUACGGCCGCAAGGCUAAA
rnacentral:rRNA from 1 species